rnacentral:antisense_RNA from 1 species
CGCUGGGCGGGCGGGCAGCCCAUCUGGCGGCCCCCGCGGGGCGGCGCGGGGAGGCGGCCCAGACUUGCUGGAGCCAGGCGCCGGCCCGGGGGCCCCCCUGCCCGCCUGGAGAACCCAGUCUUGCCCGUGUUUUGGGGUGACUCAGCUUCCCUGCUUGUGCAAGAACAGCUGAACUCUGACCUCCUGGAUGGCCGACUCUUGCCUUGCUCUUCAGGGAUCCCAGACACGAUCGUAGGAACCGGAGAUUUUAUGGAAAGAAGUUGAUAUUUGGAGAAUGAAAAAAGAAAAGAUGCACCUAAGCAAAGGCACAUCAGGCCGCUGUGCAAAAGAACAAGCAUGCUCUAGAAGUGUAUGUGCUGCUGUGGAAACACCUCUAAGAAAUACCGUAGAAACCCAAGGUGCAGAAUGCUCCAAGAAUGCCACCAUCUGUGCAAGAAAAAGUAUACACACGUCAGUGCACAGGUGUCUGAAUGUCUGUGUAAUA